GCCGAGAUGGUGAAAUCUGGUCGACACACGGGACUUAAAAUCCCGGGGACCGAAAGGUCCGUGCCGGUUCAAUUCCGGCUCCCCGCACCA
rnacentral:tRNA from 1 species